rnacentral:rRNA from 1 species
UAGGGAAUCUUCCGCAAUGGGCGAAAGCCUGACGGAGCAACGCCGCGUGAGUGAUGAAGGUCUUCGGAUCGUAAACCUCUGUUAUUAGGGAAGAACAAAUGUGUAAGUAACUAUGCAUGUCUUGACGGUACCUAAUCAGAAAGCCACGGCUAACUACGUGCCAGCAGCCGCGGUAAUACGUAGGUGGCAAGCGUUAUCCGGAAUUAUUGGGCGUAAAGCGCGCGUAGGCGGUUUUUUAAGUCAGAUGUGAAAGCCCACGGCUCAACCGUGGAGGGUCAUUGGAAACUGGAAAACUGGAGUGCAGAAGAGGAAAGUGGAAUUCCAUGUGUAGCGGUGAAAUGCGCAGAGAUAUGGAGGAACACCAGUGGCGAAGGCGACUUUCUGGUCUGUAACUGACGCUGAUGUGCGAAAGCGUGGGGAUCAAACAGG